rnacentral:misc_RNA from 1 species
UUAAGUUCAGCGGGUAUUCCUACCUGAUCCGAGGUCAACCUUGAAAAGGAUUUUCCCACCGAAGGGAGAAGACCGGAGCCUGGGUUCCCUUGAUCCGAUACGUGCUCAGUUAAGAAGCUCAAUGUACCGGGGGUUCCAACAGGCCGCCGUCAUUGUCUUUAGGAGGGGUGACGCCCGGAGGCUUCACCAAACCGUCCAAC